ACGCCGAUUGUUUCAAAAUUAUCGAUAAAAAUCCUUCCUUUUUUCUAAUAGAUUACAGAGAUUUACUGAGUUGUGACCUAUAUUGAUUGAUUGAUCGAUUCAUGAUCAUUGAUCGAUCGAUUGAUUGUGACUUAUCCAUCAAUCAUUGAUGGAUCGAUUGAUCGAUCGAUUAUCACAACUGGAGGGGUGUGGCUGAACAGCGAUGUUUUACCAUAGAUAUACGGAAUUAGGCACAUGGUACCACAAAGCUUGCCCUUCUUCUUUACCUCAUUCCUUUCCUUCUUUGCUCGCUCAAACUCACUCAGUCUCAGUCCAGAGAUAAGCUUAGACUUCGUACUAUGGAACAAGAAAAAGAGAUGGAGGAUAUUUUGACUACUACUAGAUGAUGGGGGUUUCCUCGAAUGUUAAAGACAAGUUUAAAGCAGAAAAGGCAUACCAGUUAUUACUGAUACCUCAGAACUACCAAGAGAGUUAAGCAUUCUAAUGCAUGAGUGAGUCUACAUUCAAUAUGAACUCAAUAUGAAUUCAAUACGAACUCUUCAUUUAUCAUUACUAGUAUCACUUUUGUGACACUUGUUAUUUCAUUGUAAAUUGUUCUGAUUUCAAUAGUUUCAAAAUAAUUAUUAAAGUAUUAACAUGUAUCAGUCAUAAUUCAGUAUUACCAAUACAACUACAUGUAUAAAC